rnacentral:rRNA from 1 species
AUGAAAAUCCUGUCCUCUCUCCCGCAACCUCCCUCCCUCCCCACGUUCCCCUCAACCCCCCACCUCGCCCACCCCGCAUCGCCUCCUACCUCGCGCACUGGGGCCGCCGUCGACGCCCCACCCCGCGCCGCCUCCUACCUCGCCUACCCCGCGCGCUGCCGCCGCCGCCUACUACCUCGCCCACCCCGCGCGCCACCGCCGCCCUACCCUGCUCCGCCACCACGGGAUCCCGGCCGGUCGGCCUCCCCCGAGCACCCCCCGCCCCCAUGCGCGCCGGCCGCCACCCGACGCAAAUCAGUCACCACCCCAGCGCUCCCUUCCCCGCGCUAUCCCUCGAUGCCGGCCGGCCGAGCGCCUUCGACAGGAUGCGUCGCCACGAUCCAGUCACUGGGGGUCGCUCUCCCUGACUCACAGCUGAAGGAGACCGGCAGCUUCCUCGAUGGAGCACUGCAGAAGGCCAUCGAGCCUACGACCACAACCAGGACGAGCCCCUCAAUUUGCUAG